rnacentral:rRNA from 1 species
AUUGAACGCCGGCGGCAUGCCUUACACAUGCAAGUCGAACGGUAACAGGUCUUCGGAUGCUGACGAGUGGCGAACGGGUGAGUAAUACAUCGGAACGUGCCUAGUAGUGGGGGAUAACUACUCGAAAGAGUGGCUAAUACCGCAUGAGAUCUACGGAUGAAAGCAGGGGAUCGCAAGACCUUGUGCUACUAGAGCGGCCGAUGGCAGAUUAGGUAGUUGGUGGGAUAAAAGCUUACCAAGCCGACGAUCUGUAGCUGGUCUGAGAGGACGAUCAGCCAAAAUGGGACUGGGACACGGCCCAGACGCCUACGGGAGGAAGCAGUGGGGAAUUUUGGACAAUGGGCGCAAGCCUGAUCCAGCAAUGCCGCGUGCAGGAUGAAGGCCUUCGGGUUGUAAACUGCUUUUGUACGGAACGAAAAGCCCUGGGUUAAUACCCUGGGGUCAUGACGGUACCGUAAGAAUAAGCACCGGCUAACUACGUGCCAGCCGCCGCAGUAACAC